rnacentral:rRNA from 1 species
GUAGCUAAUACCGCAUAACGUCGCAAGACCAAAGAGGGGGACCUUCGGGCCUCUUGCCAUCGGAUGUGCCCAGAUGGGAUUAGCUAGUAGGUGGGGUAACGGCUCACCUAGGCGACGAUCCCUAGCUGGUCUGAGAGGAUGACCAGCCACACUGGAACUGAGACACGGUCCAGACUCCUACGGGAGGCAGCAGUGGGGAAUAUUGCACAAUGGGCGCAAGCCUGAUGCAGCCAUGCCGCGUGUAUGAAGAAGGCCUUCGGGUUGUAAAG